rnacentral:misc_RNA from 1 species
GCGAGUGAUGAUACUAGUUUUGCCAACAGACUGAUCACCCAAGAACACCAGCUUGUACUUGGCCAGUGCCGAAACUGGAGCCAUUAGACGGAUCUAUCACAGUAUCCGAAGUCGAGAUCUCGCCGAGAAUUCCUCGACGAUUAGAUCCCUAAAUCGGAGAAUCACUCUUCGAUAUUAGGAAUUUCUGGUGUGUAUUUAUAUUUUUGGAGAGGGAGAGGAAGAGGGAUUGACGUAAGCUGGCCUUGCGGGGUUUGAUUUUGAAACAGGCAGCUUCGUAAUCGUACGCUGGUCAAGUGGUGCAUUGGGUUGGACCCAACCACGGAACUGAGUUUCGAGACUGCGCAUACCCUAAUUGCUUUCACGGCGAGUCGUUCAUUGGACUAAUUCUUGGAAAGAGGCACGUGCAUAGUACGUGAC